rnacentral:rRNA from 1 species
CUCAGUUCGGAUCGGAGUCUGCAACCCGACUCCGUGAAGCUGGAUUCGCUAGUAAUCGCGCAUCAGCCAUGGCGCGGUGAAUACGUUCCCGGGCCUUGUACACACCGCCCGUCAAGCCAUGGAGGCCGGGGGCGCUUGAAGUGCGUUGCCGCAAGGCGCGCCCUAGAGCGAAACCGGUGACUGGGGCUAAGUCGUAACAAGGUAUC